rnacentral:rRNA from 1 species
AACCUCUUUAGCAGGGACGAAGCGAAAGUGACGGUACCUGCAGAAGAAGGACCGGCCAACUACGUGCCAGCAGCCGCGGUAAUACGUAGGGUCCGAGCGUUGUCCGGAAUUAUUGGGCGUAAAGGGCUCGUAGGCGGUUUGUCACGUCGGGCGUGAAAACUCAGGGCUCAACCCUGAGCGUGCGUCCGAUACGGGCAGACUAGAGGUAUGCAGGGGAGAACGGAAUUCCUGGUGUAGCGGUGGAAUGCGCAGAUAUCAGGAGGAACACCGGUGGCGAAGGCGGUUCUCUGGGCAUUACCUGACGCUGAGGAGCGAAAGCAUGGGGAGCGAACAGGAUUAGAUACCCUGGUAGUCCAAGGGCGAAUUC